rnacentral:rRNA from 1 species
GUAGUCAUAUGCUUGUCUCAAAGACUAAGCCAUGCAUGUCUAAGUAUAAACACCUUUAUACUGCGAAACUGCGAACGGCUCAUUAUAUCAGUUAUAAUCUACUUGAUCGUAUCCUCUUACUUGGAUAACCGUAGUAAUUCUAGAGCUAAUACAUGCAAAAGUUCCCGACUGGUGACGGAAGGGAAGUAUUUAUUAGGUCCAAAAUCAAUGCUGGCCAUUCCAAACUGGGGCAACCUGGGGUCAGGAAAAGUUGAUGAUUCAUAAUAACUAAACGAAGCGCAGGGCUCGUCUCGGCGCUGAUACAAACGAGUUUCUGCCCUAUCAACUUUCGAUGGUAGUAUAGGGGACUACCAUGGUCGCAACGGGUAACGGGGAAU